AAUGGUGUUGCUGGGAGCUGGCUCUGUACUGAGCCUGGGACAAGACAGCAAAGGAUGUGGCAUAGUAUCUUCAGGCGCUUCCUAUUGCACUGCAAUUUAGACUAGAUAUUUAAAACUGUAUUUUCAUUUGGAUCUAGCCCUUUCUGGAAUGUCUGCUUAGUUAAGCAUUCAAGUGCUUAACUCUAGGCUCUAGGCAGUAGCCUCUUGAAGUUUCAGCUCAUUCUUAAGAGUGGUGAGUAAAGACUUAUUUUCUAAGCGUACUCAGAAAAGAAAGCUUUUCAUUCCUGCUAAAAGAACAGGUUUACUGUUGGUUAUGUGCAGGUUUUUGUUUGUUUACAGAGCUGCCCUAUAUAAUGGGGGGAAAAAGGCAGCAAUGAAGAAGUACCCAGGAGGGAGGGAGUGCUGUCUGCCCCUGUCCUCAAAAGGAGCUUGUGAGGGGAGAAUACAGAGCCAAGCCAUCCGGCUAAUGCAUGUGAUCUUUUCUUGCUCCCUUUGGAAGGAUUGCUCAUCCCACUGAGAAAACUCCUUUAAUUUGAAAGAAGCUCCAAGACGUCGCUCUGGAUUUCUUCGUAGCAGCUGACAAAACAAGAAAGAUUUAAGUGUGAAAAUUCAGAAGUAGUGAGAGGAAUGAGGGAUGAGUACUACUGUAUAAGAGUGAACACUGAGACUGGAUGGAUGGAUGAAGUUCAUACUGCCUAACUCAGAAAAUUCAUGGUCCUCAGAGAAAGCAGCACCUGAAACAGAGGAUAAACGACUUCAGACUGAAAUCCAGUUUUUCACAGAGCCUUGACAUCUGAUACAGCCUUUUCACAUUUACCUUUCCAAAAUGUCCUCUGCCAAGUACUGCACAACAUCUGAAGUCCUUCAGACUGAACUGAAAUCUUUGCUGUGUUCUGUGUAAAUAAACACACGCUUUCCAGUUAGCUGACUCCAAUAAAGGUAAUUCAUAUUCAA